CACUGGGGAUCAGACCU
rnacentral:piRNA from 1 species